GAUAAAUUUUUUAUAUUUUUUAUAAUUUAUUUUAAAUUUAUUUUACAUAUAAAUUUUAGUAUUAAAUUUUAAUUAUUUAAAUAAUAAUUAAUUUAAUUUAAGUAGUAAUUAAAAUUAAAAAUUUAAGAAAUUAAGAUUUAGUAAUAUUUAAAUUAAUAACUAAUUUUGUGCCAGCAGUUGCGGUUAAACAAAAAUUAAAUUAAAUUAUUUCAGUAUAUAAUAAAUAAUUAUUUAUUAAACUAAAUAUUAAAUUAUUAAGUGAAAUUUUAAUUUAAUUAAAAAUUAUUUUAAAAUUAUGAUUUAAUAAAUUUUAUUUUAAACUAGGAUUAGAUACCCUAUUAUUAAAAAUUUAAUUAAAAAUACUAAAAUAGUAAAUAAAAUAUUAUUGAAACUUAAAUAAUAUGGCGGUAUUUUAGUUCAUUUAGAGGAAUCUGUCUAAUAAUUGAUAAUCCACGAAUAAAUUUACUUAAUUUAUAAUUUUGUAUAUCAUUGUUAAAAAAAUAUUUUUAAAUAAAAAUAAUAUUUUAAAAUUUAAAAUAAAAUUUAAUUCAGAUCAAGAUGCAGAUUAUAAUUAAGUUUAAGAUGGAUUACAAUAAAAUUAUUUAAGCGGAAAAGUUUUGUAAAAAUUAAUUGAAGAUGGAUUUAAAUGUAAUUUUAAUUAAUUUAUUAAAAUGAUUAAAAAUUGAAAUAUGUACAUAUUGCCCGUCACUUUCAUUUAAAAAUUGAAAUAAGUCGUAACAAAGUAGAAGUACUGGAAAGUGUUUCUAGAAUGAA
rnacentral:ncRNA from 1 species